UCAUUGCUGUGCUGAUUAACCUGUGAUGACCCAUCCGCAGCAAGAAAGCAAUCUGAAAUCAGACCCUUGGCUGAUUACAGCAGGCAAGCAGCUGGUCCAGGAAUGAUCACUUGCCCCAAAUUAAAGUUAACCCUUACUGGAGCUACCAAAUGUUUUUACUAGGAUAACUAUCCAAGGCAAAACAGUCUUGAAAAAGCAGGUGAUGGAUGAAGAACAAUUCCUAAAUGCCAAGACCAAAGGGACUUCAGAACGCAUGACAGAAAACUCAAACAACAGUGUCUGAAGAAGCAAUCAAGACUUAACAACAUGAACAUCAAAUAUCCUUAGAGAUAUGUAUUCAAAGUGAAACAAAGGCCGGAUGUAACUUAGUAUAGACAAAAAAAGAAGUAAAUAAACAGUCAAGAACAUACAAGCAAAGACUGGCCAACCACCCGUAAUAAGUUGGGAGCCUAUUUUUUCGGUUGCUGCAUCAAACGGUAUUUCAAUAUCUGUCAAUAGUUAUAUUAAUAAUUUGGUUAUUGCUAAACAAAAGAUACAUGAAUAAGGGUAUGUUUUGAUUGCUGAACUGCUCUUGCUGUAUACAUCUGUGCUAUGUCCAUGGAAUGCCCAUGGAUGAUUAGGAAGAUUCAGAUAGCUCUAUUAUCAAGCUCUAUUUUCUUUACAAUGUUGCAUUUUAUUUGUGUUGGACUUCACUCCAGUGAGAGGGUACUGGAGGAAAAAAUGUUUUUGUUUGUUUUUCUUGGAUAUUUUAAAGGAAAAGAUGUACUUCGAAACUGUUCAGAGUUUGGAAAGAUAUUGAGAUUAGGUAAUGUGUUUCAAGGAGAACUGACAGACAAAGUUAUCAAAUGUUCAUGCUAACAGCUAAUCACACCAUUUUAUCAGAUAUAUAAUCACUGCCCUUACACUUAUAAACAGACAUGCAUAUUCCCUUCUUCCCAGUCUUAAAAAUAAAUUAUAUCACAGAAUACGGAAAUUCCAUGUCCAUAUACCCUUGCCACAGAGGGACAUGUUUUGUACAGCCCGGGCCAGAAUGACUGAGAUGCUGAGUGAAAGUAGAAGAUUAGACAGAACACUUGUUCCAGAACCUGAAUGCCAUCUCGAUGUUAUGUCCUUUCUUCUACUGCUGCGAAAGUCAAUAAAUUAGACAAGUACAACCAGUCCUGGAGUGAUGAAAUCUGCUCGUGAGCAAAUACUACAAGAAAUAAAUCCCAUAAAUACCAUGGAGUCAUUUACAUCAGCCAGAAAAAGUGUAGGUGACUGUCUGGGCCAAGAUUUAGCUGCAGAUAAUAUUAUGGGGUACCUGCUCCCUGUGUUCAGUAGAAUCCAAAUCAGAUCCUUGAACUUAUUGACACCAUGGGCAGCAUCUAGGCAGAGUUACAGUGAAUUCAGAGUUCUUGCUUCCAUUUUAUGAAUUACAAAGCCAAAAAUACGUGCUCUAUCCAAAAAUAAUAAUUUUAAAAUCAACCUUUAUCACAAUAUUACC